UUCUUUGCUGGUUGUGUGGUGUCAGGACUUAACCCACUUGUGAACACUGCAUUGAACUUCUUUGUUCACAGUGGUUAAGUUCUGCCAUCCUGAGACCCAUAUCAGCAAA
ensembl:miRNA microRNA 27a